UCCAGCAGUGGAAACAUCUCAAAUUGCCUGCUACUGUGCAGAAGGGGACUGAAGUAGUUGGAAGUUAACCUUCCUCCCUGACCCUCGCUGUUGCUUCUCAUCUGUUUUCUAGAAUAAAAUUGUUGUCAUUGGGGAACAGUCAUGUCCUCUCAUGAGAAGGGUUGAAUACUAACAGAACAUAACUCUAAAGAGAGUCACCUUGAAUACUUUCCACUACGUUGUUAUAAACUGAUGCAAUCAGACUGCUUGACAGCUAAGCCAUCAAUGUCUUCUGAGCCUUGAAGAGUUUCUUGUGGUGCUGCCCACACAAGAGUUUCUGCAGGUGGA
rnacentral:lncRNA from 1 species